rnacentral:tRNA from 1 species
GUGCUAUUAGCUCAAUAGGUAGAGCACUUAACUUUUAAUCAAGAUGUUACGAGUUCAAGCCUCGUAUGGCACA